CGAUUUCACCUUUAUCGUAAACUACGCAGCCGUUAAGGUGAACACAAGGAAAGACAUGUAAACCUAACGCUUCUCUGAUAUUACCUACGGAUGUUCGCUGUCUACCAGUAGCUAACACAAAAGGUAGCUGAGGAUAAUUUUCACGAAGAUACUUUAAAGCACGAAGGUUUCGCGGAUGUGGCUUAUGAUCCGGUCCCAGCAAAGUACCAUCAACAUCACAGAUAAUGAGUUGAAUAUCCUCCGGUUUAGGUAAGACGUUUUUCUUUUGAUUAAUGUCAAUUUCUUUAGACGGCAUCUUUCUUUUUUGUAUGAGAUUUUUAAUCAAAACACUGUUAACGUCCAAUUUACCUGUCUAUGAUAAACAAUUGAUCAAUUUAUUUAAAAAUCAAAGUAACUGUUUUCACAAAUACCCACAAUGAUCUAUCGUAUUUGUAUUUAUAGCCCG